CAUGCUAUCUAGAUCGUCACCGGUUGGACCAAGCGGCGCAGAUAACCUCACGGAUGACGUCCAUGUUCAUGUAGUGGGCGUCUCUUCAGAGCUGAUAUGACUGCAAGCAUGUGACGUCGAGUCCAAGAUUCCCACAUUCCAAAAGUCUUGCCGAAAAAGGAGUUCAAAUUGUCAAAAGGAUCAUGAAGAAGACAGGUGAGUUGAAGGAGGACUUCUGGUUAGGUAUGCUCGACAACUCAACUGGACAAUGGCCUGCUUCCAGGAGAGCUGCUCCAAGGCAGGAAGUUACGCACUCAGCUGCCAGAUUUCGGACCGUGCCCCAGUGGGCAGAUAUCUAGGCGCAAGCUGUGCCAUCAAGGGUCCUCCUCCAAAGGGAAAACUCUGCCCACCAUAAAGAAGCUAUGGUUAGAGUACGCGGUGAUGUGUGGGCUCUCAAGGCUCUAGUCAGGCGGCUGGAGGCACCGAGGUCGUAUUGUGUCCUUAUAGAAGGCAACAAGAAGCUUCCACGCAACCGACAUCUUCUGGUCACUCGCGAGUCAUCAUGAGUGACGUUGAGGAAGACGAUUCCGAUGUCGAGGACAUUUCUCAGGCUACCAGGUGAGCGUCACAGCCCAUGCAAUCGGCGUCUCGCCGAUCCACCCGACAAAGACGACAACCCAACCGGCUUCAUUAAAACCGGGAUUUCGUCCGAGUGUGUCGUACCUUGUUCACCGAUUUCUAACUGUCGCACCGAGGGAGAUGUAUCGCAUCACUCACACAUGCGCUCUUUGUAUGGGCCCUUCGCCUAGCACGAUCUAUGUACGACAUAGGUAGUCACCUGGAGCGUAUAUAUGUCGUCUUGCGUUCACAAAUAAAACGUGAUUCUUCUUGUUGCUUA